rnacentral:rRNA from 1 species
GACGAACCGAGCGAACGUUAUUCGGAAUCACUGGGCUUAGAGGGCGCGUAGGCGGGCCGUCAAGUCAGGGGUGAAAGCCCCCAGCUCAACUGGGGAAGUGCCUUUGAUACUGACGGUCUCGAGGGAGAUAGGGGCGUGCGGAACUUCCGGUGGAGCGGCGAAAUGCGUAGAUAUCGGAAGGAACACCGGUGGCGAAAGCGGCGCGCUGGAUCUCUUCUGACGCUGAGGCGCGAAAGCCAGGGGAGCGAACGGG